rnacentral:rRNA from 1 species
UGGGGAAUAUUGCACAAUGGAGGGAACUCUGAUGCAGCGACGCCGCGUGAGUGAAGAAGUAUUUCGGUAUGUAAAGCUCUAUCAGCAGGGAAGAAGAUGACGGUACCUGAAUAAGAAGCCCCGGCUAACUACGUGCCAGCAGACGCGGUAAUACGUAGGGGGCAAGCGUUAUCCGGAUUUACUGGGUGUAAAGGGAGCGCAGACGGCUGUGCAAGUCUGAAGUGAAAGCCCGCGGCUCAACUGCGGGAUUGCUUUGGAAACUGUGCGGCUUGAGUAUCGGAGAGGUAAGCGGAAUUCCAAGUGUAGCGGUGAAAUGCGUAGAUAUUUGGAGGAACACCGGUGGCGAAGGCGGCUUACUGGACGAAAACUGACGUUGAGGCUCGAAGGCGUGGGGAGCAAACAGG